GGGUCGCUGGUCUAGCGGUAUAAUACGUUAUCCUAUAUCUUCUAUCUUAAGGAUAGGCCUAGGCCUGUCCUUAAGGUAGGAGUGAGUACGAAGUCGUAGGUUCGAAUCUUACGCGAUCCA